UACGAAGGGGGCUAGCGUUGCUCGGAAUCACUGGGCGUAAAGGGUGCGUAGGCGGGUCUUUAAGUCAGGGGUGAAAUCCUGGAGCUCAACUCCAGAACUGCCUUUGAUACUGAAGAUCUUGAGUUCGGGAGAGGUGAGUGGAACUGCGAGUGUAGAGGUGAAAUUCGUAGAUAUUCGCAAGAACACCAGUGGCGAAGGCGGCUCACUGGCCCGAUACUGACGCUGAGGUGCGAAAGCUAGGGGAGCAACAGGG
rnacentral:rRNA from 1 species